UACGGAGGGUGCGAGCGUUACCCGGAUUUACUGGGUGUACAGGGCGUGUAGCCGGUCUUUCAAGUCCGAUGCUAAAGACCGAAGCUCAACUUCGGGGGUGCGUUGGAUACUGUGAGGCUAGACGGUCGGAGAGGGUAGCGGAAUUUCCGGAGUAGCGGUGAAAUGCGCAGAGACCGUAGGGAACGCCGAUAGCGAAAGCAGCUACCUGGUCGAUUUGUGACGCUGAGGCGCGAAAGAGUGGGGAGCAAACCGG
rnacentral:rRNA from 1 species